GACGAACGCUGGCGGCGUGCCUAAUACAUGCAAGUUGAGCGCUGAAGGUUGGUACUUGUACCGACUGGAUGAGCAGCGAACGGGUGAGUAACGCGUGGGGAAUCUGCCUUUGAGCGGGGGACAACAUUUGGAAACGAAUGCUAAUACCGCAUAAAAACUUUAAACACAAGUUUUAAGUUUGAAGGAUGCAAUUGCAUCACUCAAAGAUGAUCCCGCGUUGUAUUAGCUAGUUGGUGAGGUAAAGGCUCACCAAGGCGAUGAUACAUAGCCGACCUGAGAGGGUGAUCGGCCACAUUGGGACUGAGACACGGCCCAAACUCCUACGGGAGGCGGCAGUAGGGAAUCUUCGGCAAUGGACGAAAGUCUGACCGAGCAACGCCGCGUGAGUGAAGAAGGUUUUCGGAUCGUAAAACUCUGUUGGUAGAGAAGAACGUUGGUGAGAGUGGAAAGCUCAUCAAGUGACGGUAACUACCCAGAAAGGGACGGCUAACUACGUG
rnacentral:rRNA from 1 species